rnacentral:lncRNA from 1 species
CCACUGAGCUAAGUCCCCAGCCCUACAGUCCUUAUUUUCUAAGGUCAGCAGGUUAGAAUGACCUCUUCUUGAGAUGAGAGUCCUGGGACACACAUAAGAGCUGAGAGCCCAAAGAGCACUGUGGGCCAUCAGCCGGCUCCUAGGCAUUGGUGGGGAGGAGAAGGCAUCUUGUGCCAUGACUGUCACAAUGACCUGGUAGUCUUGUGAGAGACAAGAUAGAAUGGAUGAAACAACAGCAGAACAAUGUUAAUUGAAGAUAAUCAGCAGUGAUGUCAUGCUGUAAAUCAGUCCUUGAAGUCAUGACCCACAUGUCUAAAAAUAGAUGUCAGGAAUGGAAUGGACACUCAGGUAACACCAUAAGAAUGACCUUUAGCCACCUGCCUUACCCACCUGGAAGAGAACCUGAGAUGUUCUCCCAAAAAAACCCUUUGAGAUGCAAGGAAAAGAAGGAAAGAGAGUUACUUCCACUAAAAAGCUGUCAGAGAGAAAUAAGUGACAAUGGAAUGAGGUUUUAAUCUUACUUCCAAGCUAUUAUGCAUAACAAUGUCUAAUUCUAAUCUUUUUUGUAAAAUGAGUAAUAAUUUAGAUGCACUAAUGUCAAUAUUUAAUUACCCAUGAGUCCAAAAUAAUUUGUUCCUUUACUAAUGUAAAAUUUCUGCCAUUAGGAAGAAAAACC